AGGACUACCCGCUGAACUUAAGCAUAU
rnacentral:rRNA from 1 species